rnacentral:tRNA from 1 species
GGGCGAUUAGCUUAGGGGGAGAGCGCCUCCCUUACAAGGAGGAGGUCAGAGGUUCAAAUCCUCUAUCGCCCA